UACGUAGGUGGCAAGCGUUGUCCGGAUUUACUGGGCGUAAAGAGCGCGCAGGCGGUCGUUCAAGUCGCGUGUGAAAGCCCCCGGCUCAACUGGGGAGGGUCACGCGAUACUGAUCGACUCGAAGGCAGGAGAGGGUAGUGGAAUUCUCGGUGUAGAGGUGAAAUUCGUAGAUAUCGAGAGGAACACCGGUGGCGAAGGCGGCCUUCUGGACGAUUACUGACGCUGAGACGCGAAAGCGUGGGGAGCAAACAGG
rnacentral:rRNA from 1 species